rfam:Myotis brandtii contig191367, whole genome shotgun sequence.
GGCGGUUCUCGGUGACGCACCCCAGAAUCGGGCUCCCUCCUCUAUAGUUCUGGAUGUGUCACCUGAGAACAGCA